AUUCAUCGUACAGACGUACUCGAGUUUUUAUUUCACAAUCUUCUUACCUAGUCCCACUCGGUCACUAGUCGCCUCGCGAUGAAUCCAAAAUGAAACCCAGCUCAGCACAACGAUCAGCACGCACGAUUAAAGGACACCUGCAGUACCGAAAAGUCACCUUCACUUCUGGCGAAGGUUAAGUUACGGUAAGGAUGCCAAUACAUCCCGUUGUAGGACAGUGAUGUUAUUGCCGAUAGACUGGAGGUGUUGGGUGAGUCCAGAGAUCCAAGUUCCACGGAUCCCGUGGGAUCGUUUCUGCACCAAAUCGAUGAAAAAGAGACCAGAAGUCUAGGCAAGGAAAAUUUACAAGUAGUAAUCAACAUUU